rnacentral:rRNA from 1 species
UUCCGGUUGAUCCUGCCGGACCCGACUGCUAUCAGAGUGAGAUUAAGCCAUGCGAGUUAACGUAGCAAUACGUGGCGCACGGCUCAGUAACACGUAGUCAACAUGCCCAGAGGACGUGGAUAACCUCGGGAAACUGAGUCUAAACCGCGAUAAGUGAGGAUUUCUGGAAUGGUUCCUGACUAAAAUCUAUAAGGCCUCUGGAUUGGACUGCGGCCGAUCAGGCUGUUGGUGAGGUAAUGGCCCACCAAACCUGUAACCGGUACGGGCUCUGAGAGGAGGAGCCCGGAGAUGGGCACUGAGACAAGGGCCCAGGCCCUAUGGGGCGCAGCAGGCGCGAAACCUCUGCAAUAGGCGAAAGCCUGACAGGGUUACUCUGAGUGACUUUCGCUAAGAAAGUCUUUUGGCACCUCUAAAAAGGGUGCAGAAUAAGGGGUGGGCAAGUCUGGUGUCAGCCGCCGCGGUAAUACCAGCACCCCGAGUGGUCGGGACGAUUAUUGGGCCUAAAGCAUCCGUAGCCGGUUCUGCAAGUCUUCCGUUAAAUCCAGCCGCUCAACGGAUGGGCCGCGGAGGAUACUACAGGACUAGGAGGCGGGAGAGGCAAGCGGUACUUAGUGGGUAGGGGUAAAAUCCUUUGAUCCAUUGAAGACCACCAGUGGCGAAGGCGGCUUGCCAGAACGCGCUCGACGGUGAGGGAUGAAAGCUGGGGGAGCAAACCGGAUUAGAUACCCGGGUAGUCCCAG